rnacentral:siRNA from 1 species
UCGUGUUUGCAAAAGGUCCAUC